GAUCUCUCCUUUAUUAACCGUCCGAUUAUCAUAAACUCUUAAUAAAACCCUGAUCCCUAUAUAAACUCCAUCUUAACUUUCCUUCCCCAGAUUUGUUCAUUCUGUGGUUUCUUGGUUUUUAUAUUUAUAACCCUAUUUUCACUGUUUUUAAUCAAAUUCGCCGAUCAUGAGAUUUAAUAAAGGUAGCAAAGUCGAGGUCCUUACCAAGAGGGAGGUACCAACAGGUGCCUGGCGCUGCGCCGAGAUCAUCUCCGGUAACGGCCACACUUACAGCGUUGGUGCGGUUGGUUUCCAGUCACUGGCGAGGAGGGGACGGUGGAGAGAGUCCCCAGAAAAGCGAUUAGGCCUUGCCCUCCACCUACAAACGGGACCGUUGAUUGGGUUCCUGGCGACAUCGUAGAGGUGUUCGACGACCUGUGCUGGAAACCGGCCUUGAUUGUUACUGUUUUCGGUGGAAACAACUUUUCUGUGAGGAUUCUUGGAUCGAAUAUAGAACUGGAAGUACAUCGAUCUCGACUGCGUGUUCGACAAUCUUGGGAAGAUGGCAAGUGGUUCCUCGUUGGAAAGGGUUCGUCAAAUUCCUCACAUAAGAGGAAAAGAUCUUCGAUUGGCUUCUCGGGUUCUGGUGGGCAGAAGAAGAGGGCUAUUG